rnacentral:rRNA from 1 species
AGUGAACGCUGGCGGUAGGCCUAACACAUGCAAGUCGAACGGCAGCACAGUAAGAGCUUGCUCUUACGGGUGGCGAGUGGCGGACGGGUGAGGAAUACAUCGGAAUCUACUUUUUCGUGGGGGCUAACGUAGGGAAACUUACGCUAAUACCGCAUACGACCUACGGGUGAAAGCAGGGGAUCUUCGGACCUUGCGCGAUUGUAUGAGCCUAUGUCGGCUUAGCUAGUUGGCGGGGUAAAGGCCCACCAAGGCGACGAUCCGUAGCUGGUCUGAGAGGAUGAUCAGACACACUGGAACUGAGAAACGGUCCAGACACCUACGGGAGGCAGCAGUGGGGAAUAUUGGACAAUGGGCGCAAGCCUGAUCCAGCAAUACCGCGUGGGUGAAGAAGGACUUAGGGUUGGAAAGCCCUUUUGUUGGGAAAGAAAAGAAGCAGGUUAAUACCCCGCUGUUAUGACGGUACCCAAAGAAUAAGCACCGGCUAACUUCGUG